AAGCGGCUGUGCGAAACCUAAGGCUAACUCGGGAACAAUAUAUGAGGGUGAUUCCUUGGUGGUUAGCCAGGAAUGAACAGUGCUGGGACAUGAUAAUCGACAGGUGGUAUGCGGAAGGUUGGGUGGAGAUGCACGAGUCUUGCCGGCAGCGGCGUUUGAUGAUGCCAGGUGCACCGCACCAUCAGGGCAACAGUCACCUACGACAGUACGCGCCCAGAUGGUCGGCCUCACAUGGAGGCGAGCCUUGCCCCCCGAUCAAGGCGUGGGCUUUGGCCCACAAAGGGAAGGCUACAUCGGAUGUCAACUACAACCCGAC